rnacentral:lncRNA from 1 species
AUACUGCCGGAACUGUGGCUAAUGGUGCGGACCACCCUGCUCACUGUUAGCAAAGUGGGUAGCUACCCUCUCUUCUGGAAGCCCCUCUGCAGCACUCCUCUUGGGAGUAGAAAAGGAAGUGGUCAAGACCUACAUUUGGGAGCUGAUCCGUCUUGCUCUCAGUUAGGGCCCAGCCCUUCUGUGGGGACCAGGAAAAUCUUUGCUCACCUGGAGAAGCUGCUGGUUCAGCCCAACUUUAUCUAACGCCAAAGCCUCAUUUAAGGCACUGAGCUUGACAGCUGCAGCCCGAAGAUCAGCUACUUCUGUCUUCAGGGUGUUUUCAGAACUCGACAGCUCUGCAAUUGACUGCUCUGCCUAAAAAACAAAAAGGAUUAAAGAGUUUCAUAUUUCCAAUUUUCCUGGAACAGUAAACAGUUCACAUUCCCAACA